rnacentral:rRNA from 1 species
UACGGGGGGAGCAAGCGUUGUUCGGAUUUACUGGGCGUAAAGGGCGUGUAGGCGGUUGCGUAAGUGGAAUGUGAAAUCCCCCGGCUUACCCGGGGACCUGCAUCCCAAACUGCGCGACUUGAGUAUGGGAGAGGAUGAGGGAAUUCCUGGUGUAGCGGUGAAAUGCGUAGAUAUCAGGAGGAACACCGGUGGCGAAGGCGCUCAUCUGGCCCAAUACUGACGCUGAGGCGCGAAAGCUAGGGUAGCGAACGGG